AUUAUUUUUUAAGAGAGUUUUUUAAUACAUAUGUUUUAAGAAUAGUGAAUAUUAGAAAAGAAUUCUUUUGACUAGAGACACGAUGGAAAACCCGCCGCGUACUACUUCGUCGUUGCAGCUCGAGAGUCGACGAUGCACUGAGCCACUAGGCAGGGAGGGAGAAACGAAAAUGCCUGCAGCGGCCAAGCACGGAACAACUCAUGGGUGCCGCACAAGGAGGCCGGCGGCCGGUUACGAACAAAGAACAAGGAGAACGGAGGAAAACUUGUUUGCUCGUGUCAGAUCCUGUAGCGAAUCGCUCAAAGUAAUGUUAAAAAUAUAGCAUGUAAAGUUCGACGUAAAAA